rnacentral:rRNA from 1 species
CGACCAGGGCUACACACGAGCUACAAGGGGUAUUACAGAGGGCUGCGAAGGUGCGAGCUGGAGCGAAACUAAAAAAGGUACUCUUAGUCCGGAUUGCAGUCUGCAUCUCGACUGCAUGAAGUCGGAAUCGCUAGUAAUCGCAGGUCAGAAUACUGCGGUGUAUAAGUUCCCGGGUCUUGUACACAACGCCCGUCACACCAUGGGAGUGGGUUGCUACAGAAGUAGAUAGCUUAACUAAUGGGCGUUUACCAC